AUUGAACGCUGGCGGCAUGCUUUACACUUGCAAGUCGAACGGUAACAGGUCUUCGGAUGCUGACGAGUGGCGAACGGGUGAGUAAUACAUCGGAACGUGCCUAGUAGUGGGGGAUAACUACUCGAAAGAGUAGCUAAUACCGCAUGAGAUCUACGGAUGAAAGCAGGGGACCCUCGGGCCUUGUGCUACUAGAGCGGCUGAUGGCAGAUUAGGUAGUUGGUGGGGUAAAGGCUUACCUAGCCUGCGAUCUGUAGCUGGUCUGAGAGGACGACCAGCCUCACUGGGACUGAGACUCGGCCCAGACUCCUACGGGAGGCAGCAUUGGGGAAUUUUGGACAAUGGGCGAAAGCCUGAUCCAGCAAUGCCGCGUGCAUGAUGAAGGCCCUCGGGUUGUAAACUGCUUUUGUACGGAACGAAAAGCCUGGGGCUGAUAUCCCCGGGUUCUUACCGGUUCUAUAAAAUAAUCCCCGGGUAAUUUAGGCCAAACACCGCGGGUAAUUCAAGGGGGCAAGGAUUAAUUGAAAAUAUUGGGCAUAAAGCGUGCGCCAGGCGGGUUUGAUAAGCCAGGGGGGAAAUUCCCGGGGUUAAACUGGAGAACGGCCAUUGGAAUUUCAAGGUAAGGAGUGCGGCAAGAGGGGGGAGGAAUUCCCACGUUAACCAUGAAAAGCGUAGAAUAUGCGGAGGAACCCCGAAGGGGAAAGGCAAUCCCCUGGGCUAGCACCUGACGAUCAUGCAAGAAAGCGUGGGGGAGCAAACAGGUUUAGAUAACCUGGGUAGUCCACGCCCUAAACGAAUGUCAAAUGGGUUGUUGGGUCUAAACUGACUCAGUAACGAAGAUAACGCGUGAAGUUGACCGCCUGGGGAGUACGGCCGCAAGGUUGAAACUCAAAGGAAUUGACGGGGACCCGCACAAGCGGUGGAUGAUGUGGUUUAAUUCGAUGCAACGCGAAAAACCUUACCCACCUUUGACAUGGCAGGAACUUACCAGAGAUGGUUUGGUGCUCGAAAGAGAACCUGCACACAGGUGCUGCAUGGCUGUCGUCAGCUCGUGUCGUGAGAUGUUGGGUUAAGUCCCGCAACGAGCGCAACCCUUGCCAUUAGUUGCUACAUUCAGUUGAGCACUCUAAUGGGACUGCCGGUGACAAACCGGAGGAAGGUGGGGAUGACGUCAAGUCCUCAUGGCCCUUAUAGGUGGGGCUACACACGUCAUACAAUGGCUGGUACAAAGGGUUGCCAACCCGCGAGGGGGAGCUAAUCCCAUAAAGCCAGUCGUAGUCCGGAUCGCAGUCUGCAACUCGACUGCGUGAAGUCGGAAUCGCUAGUAAUCGUGGAUCAGAAUGUCACGGUGAAUACGUUAAAGGGUCU
rnacentral:rRNA from 1 species